CAAUAGCGUAUAUUAAAGUUGUUGCAGUUUAAAAGCUCGUAGUUGAAGAUACGAACGCUUACACUAGAACAAAGUUUCCGGUGUCUGCGUUCACUUUUCGCAAAGACAGCCUGGCCCAUUAGUUUGGGUCUUGUUUGAGUUGCGUCAUUUACUGUGAACAAAUUAGGGUGUUUAAAGCAGGCCUACGUUUGAAUACACUAGCAUGGAAUAAUAAGAUAUGAUCUUGGUCGUAUUUUGUUGGUGACUACCAAGAUAAUGAUUGAUAGAAACUGUUGUGGGUAUUCGUAUGAGCAUGUCAGAGGUGAAAUUCUUGGAUUUUGAUCAGACGAACUACUGCGAAAGUAUUUACCAAGGAUGUUUUCAUUAA
rnacentral:rRNA from 1 species